rnacentral:rRNA from 1 species
GAUGAACGCUGGCGGCGUGCCUAAUACAUGCAAGUCGAGCGAACAGACGAGGAGCUUGCUCCUCUGACGUUAGCGGCGGACGGGUGAGUAACACGUGGAUAACCUACCUAUAAGACUGGGAUAACUUCGGGAAACCGGAGCUAAUACCGGAUAAUAUAUUGAACCGCAUGGUUCAAUAGUGAAAGACGGUUUUGCUGUCACUUAUAGAUGGAUCCGCGCCGCAUUAGCUAGUUGGUAAGGUAACGGCUUACCAAGGCAACGAUGCGUAGCCGACCUGAGAGGGUGAUCGGCCACACUGGAACUGAGACACGGUCCAGACUCCUACGGGAGGCAGCAGUAGGGAAUCUUCCGCAAUGGGCGAAAGCCUGACGGAGCAACGCCGCGUGAGUGAUGAAGGUCUUCGGAUCGUAAAGCUCUGUUAUUAGGGAAGAACAAAUGUGUAAGUAACUAUGCCCGUCUUGACGGUACCUAAACAGAAAGCCACGGCUAACUACGUG